GGGACCUCUGGUUGCGUGCAAAAGAAAAAAAAAAAGAGAAAAAUUCUUUUUCUUUUUUUCUCUUAUUCUUCCUGCGUCUAGACUCGCAAAACGCCCCUUCACAGUGCUCGUCCGCCGUCGCCUCCUCGAGCCUUAGCCCAACAUGCCUCACCUUCGUCCACCGUCCGCCGCUCGACCGUAGGUUCCGGUCGUUUCAGCCGCGCCGAGUUCUUCGAUUUUUCUUUUCUCUUUUCCAUUCGCCGACCGUUUCGGUUCUGCCAAGAACGUGGUUUUGGAUUUCAAGACAUUUUUUCGGUAUUGUCCAGCAGCAUCAAAUUUCGCUUAGGCGCCUUUUGGUUUUGAAACCUUUCAGCUUGGCUUAGGACUGUUUCAGAUUUCGUCCUUGGAGCUCAGUGAAGGUCUGUUAUGUCGACUUUCUUUUGGGGCAAUUCGAGCGUUUGGUUGCUAACUGUUCGACAUAAUUUCGAGGUAAAGGUAAUGAUAGACCGACGCAUGACAAGAGAGAUCCGUGACCUGCGCAUUUAGUAUAAUGUUUUGGAGUCUGGUUUAGGAGUUAGGCGUUUUAAACUCUCAUGCAAAAUUUAUUAAUUUUAUUAUUUGACUAUUUAAUUGUUUUCAUUUUAAAGUUGGGUUUAGGGGUACCCUGAAUGAUAAAUUUUUAUUUUAGUUUAUUUAUUAUUAUUAUUUAAUUAUGUUUUCUUA